rnacentral:rRNA from 1 species
UACGAAGGGGCUAGCGUUGUUCGGAAUUACUGGGCGUAAAGCGCACGUAGGCGGAAAUUUAAGUCAGGGGUGAAAUCCCGGGGCUCAACCCCGGAACUGCCUUUGAUACUGGGUUCUUGAGUUCGGAAGAGGUGAGUGGAACUCCUAGUGUAGAGGUGGAAUUCGUAGAUAUUAGGAAGAACACCAGUGGCGAAGGCGGCUCACUGGUCCGGUACUGACGCUGAGGUGGCGAAAGCGUGGGAGCAAACAGG